rnacentral:rRNA from 1 species
UACGUAGGGGGCAAGCGUUAUCCGGAUUUACUGGGUGUAAAGGGAGCGUAGACGGCGGUGCAAGCCAGAUAUGAAAGCCCGCGGCUCAACUGCGGAACGGCUUUGGAAACUGAGGGACUAGAGUGCUGGAGGGGCAGGCGGAAUUCCUGGUGUAGCGGUGAAAUGCGUAGAUAUCAGGAGGAACACCGGUGGCGAAGGCGGCCUGCUGGACAGUAACUGACGUUGAGGCUCGAAAGCGUGGGGAGCAAACAGG